rnacentral:rRNA from 1 species
CCUACGGGAGGCAGCAGUAAGGAAUCUUGCGCAAUGGGCGAAAGCCUGACGCAGCGACGCCGCGUGGGCGAUGAAGGCCUUCGGGUUGUAAAGCCCUUUUCUGUGGGACGAUAAUGACGGUACCACAGGAAUAAGCCACGGCUAACUACGUGUCAGCAGCCGCGGUAAUACGUAGGUGGCUAGCGUUAUCCGGAUUCACUGGGCGUAAAGAGCGCGUAGGCGGUGUGCUAAGUUGGACGUGAAAGCCCCCGGCUAAACCGGGGGAGGUCGUCCAAUACUGGUGCACUUGAGGGUGGACGGGGAAAGCGGAAUCCCCGGUGUAGGGGUGAAAUGCGUAGAGAUCGGGAGGAACACCCGUGGCGUAGGCGGCGUCCGGGCCGACACCUGACGCUGAAGCGCGAAAGCGUGGGGAGC